UUGUUAGUUGCCAUCAUUCAGUUGGGCACUCUAGCGAGACUGCCGGUAAUAAACCGGAGGAAGUGGGGAUGACGUCAAAUCAUCAUGCCCCUUAUGACCUGGGCUACACACGUGCUACAAUGGUUGGUACAACGAGUUGCGAGUCGGUGACGGCGAGCUAAUCUCUUAAAGCCAAUCUCAGUUCGGAUUGUAGGCUGCAACUCGCCUACAUGAAGUCGGAAUCGCUAGUAAUCGCGGAUCAGCACGCCGCGGUGAAUACGUUCCCGGGCCUU
rnacentral:rRNA from 1 species